UUUUUUUAAAUUUUCUUUAUGAACAUAGCUUAGCUAUUAGACGAAUUUAUGUAAUGGAGAGUUUUAUUGUGGGUCAAAUUUAUAUAAUUCACGGCUCAAGUAAAUGUCUGGGUGCAUUGUACAAAAGAGAAAAAGUUAACUUUUCAUUCCCCUGUGAGAAGUAAAUGGCUGUUUCUAUUUAUUUCUUUCUCAAUUUAGUUUUUCUGCUGCUUUUGCUGCCUCUUGUCGUUGUAUUUAAGAGUUUUGUUGUUCUUUUUAUUUUGUGAGCUCUAGUUUCCAAGGACUCUAUAGUGGGUUUGGAUAGUUUCUUGGUUGUAAGAGUUGUAAUUUUUUUUAAUGAUGACUCCUAAUUAAAGGUCGAAUGAUGUUGAUAGUUUAUUAAUUGGUAUGUAAAUUUGCUUUCAUUUUAGUGGCUUCAUUGGAUUUCAAAUUGGAAGGAACUUUAUUUGCAGCAGUUUGCAAGAGGUACCUCUCUAUUAUGAUGGGAUUGGGGGCAUACGUUUGUCAUUAAAACUUUCUGACUCUAGCCAAACACCUAUAGAGAUUGGAUUGGAUCUGGAGAAAUUGUUGUAGAAGGUUAUUUUAUUUCAAGUGACCCAAAGGAUGAGGUUCACCAUGUUCCUCUUGGGCCUAGUGCUAUGAAAGUGGGGAUAGAUCUUGUGAGAAAGAAUGAUGCAUUUCUGUGGAGGCCUUCAACAAUUAUGUCUACUAUAGAAGAUGC